GAUGAACGCUGGCGGCGUGCCUAAUACAUGCAAGUCGAGCGAACAGACGAGGAGCUUGCUCCUCUGACGUUAGCGGCGGACGGGUGAGUAACACGUGGAUAACCUACCUAUAAGACUGGGAUAACUUCGGGAAACCGGAGCUAAUACCGGAUAAUAUAUUGAACCGCAUGGUUCAAUAGUGAAAGACGGUUUUGCUGUCACUUAUAGAUGGAUCCGCGCCGCAUUAGCUAGUUGGUAAGGUAACGGCUUACCAAGGCAACGAUGCGUAGCCGACCUGAGAGGGUGAUCGGCCACACUGGAACUGAGACACGGUCCAGACUCCUACGAGAGGCAGCAGUAGGGAAUCUUCCGCAAUGGGCGAAAGCCUGACGGAGUAACGCCGCGUGAGUGAUGAAGGUCUUCGGAGCGUAAAACUCUGUUAUUAGGGAAGAACAAAUGUGUAAGUAACUAUGCACGGCUUGACGGUACCUAAUCAGAAAGCCACGGCUAACUACGUG
rnacentral:rRNA from 1 species